GCGCGCGCAGGGGCACUGGUUACGGACCGGCACAUAUUUACCAAGCGACAAAACAAACGGCAGUCGUGUAAGUUUCAGGGCGCGAUUCCAGGACGCGUGAAAUAUGUUAUUGGUUUCUGGGUCUCUGAAGGCUAAAAUACGUGAAGCUGGUUUUUUUUCCUCUAGUGCGACGGGAAGCACUUUCGAUCGCAAUAUCGACUCUUCAUUUUUAGCAUAAACCUCGGUCAGGGCAGGGGUCCAUCUCUACAGAAGAGCAUUUACCCAGUUAUGGCAAAUGUGUUCCUGUCAGCAGAGACAGCCAAUGGCUUGCUCCGGAGGCUGCCCAGGGCUAACAGUCUGCUGGAGGAGAUUAAGCAGGGCAACAUCCAGAGGGAAUGCAGAGAGGAGAUCUGCUCCUACGAGGAGGCGCGGGAGGCCUUUGAGAACGAUGACAAAACCAGGAGAUUCUGGGAAGAGUACGUCCGCGAGAGCAACGGCCCCGGAGGCCUGGAUGUGUCCGGGAUUCAGUCCCUGUACCUGAUCCUGCCCUUGGUGGUGGGACUGCUGCUCGUUGUUGUGGUGAUGGUUGCAGUGUGGAAGUGCCAGUCACGCAAGCACCUCCAGAGAGGCUCAGUCCAUGGGAACUCCCAAAGAGACCCUAACUUGUCCCAUGUGAACUUAGACCCACAGAAUCGGGGUUACCAGCCGGAGCUUAGGCCAAACUUAGCACCACCGCCUGGGCAGUCGAGUGUUGGGGACCCACCCCCAUCCUAUGAGGAGGCCGUGGGGCAAUCAGAUGUGCGUGUCCAUGUGGAGCCUCCCCCCCAGUAUGAGGACAUUGUCAGCAGGAGCUCAGAAAUCCAUGUGAAGUGACACCUGUCCCAUUCACAGGCAUCGGCAGGAAGAUGUGUGUACCAGGUACAGUUUUAUCGAAAUGCAAGGAGUGACAGUGUAGGUGGAGACUGCAAUAACCGCAAUAAUCACUCUAAUAUUCUAAUCUGUGAACUGCUCUCAUUAAAACAGGGCUGCCACCGCAUCGCUCUUAGGGUCAUGUGGUUUGGCUGAAUGUGUGUAUGUGUGCGUGUGAGAUACAGCAAGGAAAAGUUUAAUACAGCUUGUACUGUAAAAUCAGACUGCAUUAAUACCGGUUUGGUUGCUAUCAAUGAACCAUCCUUUGGUCAUAUUUGGUGUUUUCUUCACUGUUAUUGCAAACCAGGCUACCUGACCGCCUCCAUUCACAUUGUAUAGCAAUCCCUUUCUGCAUGGAAAGACCAUUUAUGAAAUAUUCGGUAGUUUCAUUUCCAAAGCUUCUAUUUGCACAAAAAGUGUACAGCUUUUGGGCCACCUUAACCCAUAACACUGCUUCGUUGCCAUUCCUAUUUGAAGGAGUACUUACAUGGGUCCAUUUUUAUUCCAUUUCUUUUACAUGUUUUCAUUUGUGUAUUAAAUGCUUUUAUUGGAUAUAUUGCAAUUGAUGAAAUGAGUGCAGGCUCUGCCAUAAUGUCAGUAAAGUCUUGGGGCUUUCACAAGACUAACAGCUAUAUGCAAAUAUGUAACAAAUCACAAAUUUAUUGCUGCUGUAGCAGCUCCUAAUGUAAUACCAAUAUAUUUCAUAGCAAAUAUUAAAAUUCACUCUAAUAAACAUCUGAUAGUCUAAUAUAAUCCUCAUCUGAUAAGGAUGAUGAUUAUUACAUUAUGAGUUACAACAUGUUAACAUACAUGCAGAGAAAUAAAAGUACAUCUGAGGAAGCAAGAUAAGAUGAAGCAAGGGAAUGUCUAAGGGAUGGUCUACCAGCAACUUAAUGUCCACUGUAUACGAAAGGCCUUCCAGCAACUUAAUGUCCACUGUAUACGAAAGGCCUUCCAGCAACUUAAUGUCCACUGUAUACGAAAGGCCUUCCAGCAACUUAAUGUCCAGUGCAUAAGAAAGGUCUACCAGCAACCUAAUGUCCACUGCAUAAGAAAGGUCUACCAGCAACCUAAUGUCCACUGCAUAAGAAAGGUCUACCAGCAACCUAAUGUCCACUGCAUAAGAAUUGUCUUCCUGCAAACUAAUGUCCACUGCUUAAGAAAUGUCUUCCUGCACUAAUGUCAGCUGCUUAAGAAAGGUACAGCAGCAACAGUACACCAUUAAAAAGACUCCCAAUUUUACCAUUAAGUGCAAAUUCUGCUUUUGCUGGAUUGUGUCUGAAGUUUUAUCGGCAGUGAAUCCCAAAGUAUCGAGUCAGUGCUGUAUGAAGUUGUCUGUACAAACUGCUUAUGAUGGAGUGUGGUUUUAAACUUUAUGGUCAAUUGGAAUUUGGUCUGCUGGAGCCAGGAGGAGUGCAGUUUUAAAGGGGCCAUAUGUACGUUCUCAGUUACCGCUUAACUGUUUACUAAUUGCUGUAUACUCAUUGUCUAUGCACAAUGUACAAACAAUUUCUGUGCUUAACAUUGAUGUACUGUUUACUCACUAUUGUCUAAUCCUGGACUAUAUACAGUUUAUUCAUUGUUUACUUACUGUUUUACUAUGUGUUUAUUGUCUAGUUUUUUUCCAUUCUAAUACCUGAACUGUAAAUGUAUUGUCACUCUGUGAAGAGGAGCACUGAAACCUUAUUGGAAAUACUAAUACACUUUGGGUGCUACGUCCUGUAUCACAGAUCUUUGUUCAAUCUUACGUGUUAAUUUUUUAUACAUUAGACAUUUUAAGGAGCAGAAGGAUACCUUUUCAGAUUGGUUUGUUUUCAGUUUCUGAUAACUUUUCAGCAUAUGUCUGACACAUUAGCCAUUGGCUAAUAGCCAUAACCACCACACUGAAAGCUGCAAUCGCUUUUGAACUGCAAGGUCUGCCUUCUGUGUGUUAAGUUAUUAAAUGCAGGAUGGUAACUAAAACUGUCACAUUUAAACAUUUUAAUUGCAGCUAACAAAUGAAAGAUGAAAUAGGAUUCUUAUUUGCCUUAAAGAAAUUAACUGUUUAAAAUGUUGUACUAACAGCAUCUAUAUAAAUUCAAUAGCAAGCAGUUUUCAAGCUGUGAUAUAGGACUGAAAGGGUUUGAAUGGAUUUACUUAUUUCUUUGUUGCUUGUGUUGUGGAUGAAGGAUGUCCUUUAAAUAAUUUGAAUUAUAUAUAAAUGACAUUAACACAUAUAACUAUUUCAUUAUAUGAAAUCCUUAUUAUCUAUUAAUCAUAUAUAACCUGUUAUGAUGAUGUUUAUGCCAAUCUCAAAAGUGUUAAAUGGAAGUUGUGUAUAUAUCAUAUAUAUAUAACAUCUGUAUAUUAUUCUACGACCUCUGAAUGGUUUCCUGAAACAUUACCACGUCUGUAUGAAUCACAUUGUUUGUCCUUCCUGCAGGAAAGAUGCAAAUUUCAGGUAAAGGCACUGAUAUGGUUGUACAAAGAAUGGCAUGUAAUUUCAGUCUUUAGCAUAAUGCAGUCACGUCAAAGUAAUGAGGAUUAUUAUAAGGUGUUGUAAAUAGCAGAUGUGCUUAGUGCAUUGCUCGAUACCAGGAACGACCGGUCACAUUUUUCCCUACCUUUUGAAAACUGACUAUGAUAGAGGUUGAAUAUAAGAGUAUAUUGAGGAAUGGGUUAGGGUACUUUUCUGCUUCCAGUGCUCAUGGAUGACUGGUAACAUUUUUUUUAUCAAGGACCUGAGAAGCGUCCCACUUCUCCUUGCUUUCCACCAUGGGAGUGCAUGUGUGCAUGUGGACAAGUGCCUUUCACUUAUAAUGUGUGAUCAAACAGGAAAUAUAGGGUGUCACUUGUGUGAAAAUGUGCAGUGCUCUAAUCUAUUUCUAAUAAAAGCAUUUGUUGAGA